AGCGGCAGCGGGAAGUAGUUUACUACUUUGCCGGCGAGCGGCGGACGGGUGAGUAAUGUCUGGGGAUCUGCCUGAUGGAGGGGGAUAACUACUGGAAACGGUAGCUAAUACCGCAUGACCUCGCAAGAGCAAAGUGGGGGACCUUAGGGCCUCACGCCAUCGGAUGAACCCAGAUGGGAUUAGCUAGUAGGUGGGGUAAUGGCUCACCUAGGCGACGAUCCCUAGCUGGUCUGAGAGGAUGACCAGCCACACUGGAACUGAGACACGGUCCAGACUCCUACGGGAGGCAGCAGUGGGGAAUAUUGCACAAUGGGCGCAAGCCUGAUGCAGCCAUGCCGCGUGUGUGAAGAAGGCCUUCGGGUUGUAAAGCACUUUCAGCGAGGAGGAAGGGGUUGAGUUUA
rnacentral:rRNA from 1 species